rnacentral:sRNA from 1 species
AUUCCCUUCCAGACCCACCCAGUGCCUUUUUGGGUCCUCGCGGCCCCGCUAGUGUCCACCUUCCUCUCGCCUGCCGCAGGUACCUGCUCUGCGAACUGGUGUCUGACGACCCCCGCUGCCGCCUAAGCCUCGAUGACCGAGUUCUGAGCAGCCUCGUACGGGACACGAUCGCCAGGGUGCACGGAACUUUCGGCGCAGCCGCCUGCUCCAUCGGCUUCGCGGUUCGAUACCUCAAUGCCUAUACUGGAAUAGUGCUACUUCGAUGCAGAAAAGAAUUCUAUCAGCUUGUGUGGUCAGCUCUUCCCUUCAUCACAUACUUGGAGAACAAAGGACACCGUUACCCAUGCUUUUUCAACACGUUACAUGUGGGAGGUACAAUAAGAACAUGUCAGAAGUUCCUAAUUCGGUACAACAGGAGACAGCUGUUGAUCUUGUUGCAGAACUGCACUGAUGAAGGAGAGCGGGAAGCUAUCCAGAAAUCUGUGACAAGAAGCUGCUUACUAGAGGAGGAGGAGUCAGGUGAGGAGGCUGCAGAAGCAAUGGAGUGAACCUCUGCUCCCCACACAGCUGGCUACACUGCUCAGGCUUCAGGCCCACUUGUUGAACAGAACAAUUUGGGUAGCAACAGCAUCUUCCACAGUUUUCCAAACUGGAUAGCUGCCAACCAGCGCACAUUACCCACUUGGAGUACUCAGUUAAACUAAAGUUGCCUUUACCUAGCAUUCCCUGGUGAAGUGUUGCAGGUUGUGAACUCUGUAGACAUCUUUAUUGCUUGGCUAAGAGUAGACUUAAUAAAUGUAUCUGGUUCCCGUG